AUUGAACGCUGGCGGCAGGCUUAACACAUGCAAGUCGAGAGGAGAGAGGUAGCUUGCUACUGAUCUUAGCGGCGGACGGGUGAGUAAUGCUUAGGAAUCUGCCUAUUAGUGGGGGACAACAUUUCGAAAGGAAUGCUAAUACCGCAUACGUCCUACGGGAGAAAGCAGGGGAUCUUCGGACCUUGCGCUAAUAGAUGAGCCUAAGUCGGAUUAGCUAGUUGGUGGGGUAAAGGCCUACCAAGGCGACGAUCUGUAGCGGGUCUGGGAGGAUGAUCCGCCACACUGGGACGGAGACACGGACGCGACUCCUACGGGAGGAAGCAGUGGGGAAUAUUGGACAAUGAGCGCAAGCCUGAUCCAGCCAUGCCGCGUGUGUGAAGAAGGCCUUGUGGUUGUAAAGCACUUUAAGCGAGGAGGAGGCUACUUUAGUUAAUACCUAGAGAUAGUGGACGUUACUCGCAGAAUAAGCACCGGCUAACUCUGUGCCAGCCGCCGCAGUAACAC
rnacentral:rRNA from 1 species